rnacentral:rRNA from 1 species
AGUGAACGCUGGCGGUAGGCCUAACACAUGCAAGUCGAACGGCAGCACAGUAAGAGCUUGCUCUUACGGGUGGCGAGUGGCGGACGGGUGAGGAAUACAUCGGAAUCUACUUUUUCGUGGGGGAUAACGCAGGGAAACUUACGCUAAUACCGCAUACGACCUACGGGUGAAAGCAGGGGAUCUUCGGACCUUGCGCGAUUGAAUGAGCCGAUGUCGGAUUAGCUAGUUGGCGGGGUAAAGGCCCACCAAGGCGACGAUCCGUAGCUGGUCUGAGAGGAUGAUCAGCCACACUGGAACUGAGACACGGUCCAGACUCCUACGGGAGGCAGCAGUGGGGAAUAUUGGACAAUGGGCGCAAGCCUGAUCCAGCCAUACCGCGUGGGUGAAGAAGGCCUUCGGGUUGUAAAGCCCUUUUGUUGGGAAAGAAAAGCAGCAGGUUAAUACCCCGCUGUUCUGACGGUACCCAAAGAAUAAGCACCGGCUAACUUCGCG